GACAGAGAUCCCGAGCGUUAGGCGGAAUCACUGGGCUUAAAGCGUGUGUAGGCGGACUUCUAAGUACCUUGUGAAAUCCCACGGCUUAACCGUGGAACGGCUGGGUAUACUGGUUGUCUUGGGCCACUUAGGGGCUACUGGAACAAACGGUGGAGCGGUGAAAUGCGUAGAUAUCGUUUGGAACGCCAAUGGUGAAAACAAGUAGCUGGGAGUGUGCCGACGCUGAGACACGAAAGCCAGGGGAGCGAACGGG
rnacentral:rRNA from 1 species